UCCCUGGUGGCUCAGAGGGUAAAGCGUCUGCCUACAAUGUGGGAGACCCAGGUUUGAUCCCUGGAUUGGGAA
rnacentral:tRNA from 1 species